ensembl:lncRNA
AUUUUUCACAAAAAGCACACAAGUUUGCAGACUUGCAUUAUAUUUUUCAUCAUGUUUUGAAUUAUGUGUGAGGGAUAAAUAUAAUUUCUAGGUUCUUGUAAGCUCUUCUCAUAAGCUCUCCUUAAGUUAUUUCACAUCCUGCAAAGUUUAAUUUAAGCACGUUAGUUUUAUUUGAUAGUCUAAAAGGAAUGAAAUUGGUUUUAAGAUAAAUUAUGCUGCAAAUAAUAAAAAUGCUAAUAGGAAAUGUAUUCCAUAACACUAAUGCUAUAUUUCUUGAGGCUACUGAAGCCCAGUUACUACUAUCAUUACAGACAAUCUUAGGUUACAGUUGAUCAAUUUAGGAAAGGAGUUUUGGUGACCCCAGGGAAAGUGCCUGUGUGUGUGUGUGUUGAAGAAGGCAGGGCCAGUCCACCUUUUGUGAUCCUGCUUUCUCUGAUCUCAUUAUGACGUGAACUUUCCUUCGUUUCCUUUUUCCUUAGUUUGGAAUCUUGGGAUGUGACUGACUGUACCAGUGAGUCAGUUACCUUUUUCUUUUUUUGCAACAGAGAGAACUAACAAGAUACUGGUGCUGGGAAUACUGGGCCUGGGUAUCCCAGAGGAACCUCUUCUCCCUAAAUGAAGAAGUUGAGGAAGGCUGCUUAUUCUCGUUGGGGAAAAUGAGCACUUCAGUUUUAUGCUCUGUGACAAGUUUGGCCAUGUCAGAGGACCGUCCAAAGGUCAGCAAGCUGGCUGCUGGCGAUGGGAUGCUCCCUCAGAAGCCAAAGUCUAUUACUGUGCCGUGGAAAUCCCCAGCUCACCUCUGCAGGACGAUUGCGUCUUCUCUCUGGAAGUUGUGGGCGUUGCAGGCUUUCUGCACCCUGCCCCCUGGAAGCCUGAUGCCAGCCAUUCAGCACUUCAUACUGUGGGGACCUGGGUCACGGCAGGUCGAAAGCUCUCUGGUGCUCUGAGCAUCCUCUGAUUUGCUUUCGUUUUCCUGUCGGGGGGUUGUGGUCUAGAGGACAAAGACUGUUCUUGAAUUGGUUAAUCGUGCUAUUUUUUCCUUCUCUGAUUUGAGUACAAAUCUCCCCGACAUCUUGCCUAAGGCUCAUGAUAAUGCCCAGAUAGCUUUUAUUUCCAAGUAAUAGCUCAUGCCAACAUCUGUAAAUAGGCUUCUUCUAAUCUUAGAUGUAUGACACAUUUUUCAUAUUAAACAGAAUGUUGAAGUAUUCCUACCAUGAUAACUUUUUAGCUAAUCUUGAAUUUGUUCCAAGAACAAUGAUACUGUUCAAGGCUAGACACAUCCCUUCCAUCACCUGCUUAAAAAGAUAAUUUUCUUUAUCUAUAAAAAGGGAGGAUAUGGGUUUAAGUUUCAGCUGUGCCACUUAGCAGCAGUGACCUUGAGCACACUGAGUGAUCUCUGUGAAUUUCAUUUCCCUUACCGGGUAUACCAGGUAUAUGAGAAUGACGAUAGUUACCUUCCUCAUAGGAUUAAGGUGAAGAGCAAAUGACACAUAUGAAUGUGCUUUGUAAAGCAUAAACUAUGCAAAUCUUCAGCUCAAUUCAGUUGCUUAGUCAUGUCUAACUCUUUGUGACCCCAUGGACUGCAGCACGCCAGGCUUCCCUGUCCAUCACCGAUG